rnacentral:rRNA from 1 species
UACGGAGGGUCCAAGCGUUAUCCGGAAUCAUUGGGUUUAAAGGGUCCGUAGGCGGUUUUGUAAGUCAGUGGUGAAAGCCCAUCGCUCAACGGUGGAACAGCCAUUGAUACUGCAAGACUUGAAUUAUUAGGAAGUAACUAGAAUAUGUAGUGUAGCGGUGAAAUGCUUAGAUAUUACAUGGAAUACCAAUUGCGAAGGCAGGUUACUACUAAUAUAUUGACGCUGAUGGACGAAAGCGUGGGGAGCGAACAGG